rnacentral:piRNA from 1 species
UGCCAGAUGCAGUGGUGACCACACCUA